rnacentral:lncRNA from 1 species
GAACAACAUAGCCCUCAAAUUGAAACAUUCUUUCCUAUACCCAUCAUAAACUUCCACACCUGUCUCCCACAUAAUUUUUAAAUCUUCAAUUAAAGGAGUCAAGUAUACGUCGAUAUCAUUCCCCGGUUGUUUGGGUCCAGAAAUUAACAGAGACAACAUCAUAAACUUACGCUUCAUACAUAACCAUGGAGGUAAGUUAUAUAUUACCAAAAUCACAGGCCACGUGCUAUGUGAGAUGCUUUGAAGACCAUGUGGAUUCAUUCCAUCAGUAGAAAGUGCAAGUCUUAGAUUUCUUGACUCUAUCCCGAAUUCAG